GCUGGAUAGCUCAGUUGGUGGAGCAUGAGGCUCUUAAUCACAGAGCCAUGGGUUUGAGCCCCACGUUGGGCA